rnacentral:rRNA from 1 species
UACGUAGGCAGCAAGCGUUGUUCGGAGUUACUGGGCGUAAAGGGUGCGUAGGCGGCUUUAUAAGUAUGGUGUGAAAUCUCCCGGCUUAACUGGGAGGGUGCGCUAUAGACUGUGGGGCUAGAGUGUGGGAGAGGAAAGUGGAAUUCCUGGUGUAGCGGUGAAAUGCGUAGAUAUCAGGAGGAACACCGGUGGUGUAAACGGCUUUCUGGACCAUAACUGACGCUGAGGCACGAAAGCGUGGGUAGCAAACAGG